CACGCCGUAAACGAUGAUUACUGGGUGUAGGGGGUAUCGACUCCCUCUGUGCCGAAGCAAACGCGAUAAGUAAUCCACCUGGGGAGUACGGCCGCAAGGCUAAAACUCAAAGGAAUUGACGGGGGCCCGCACAAGCAGUGGAGUAUGUGGUUUAAUUCGAGGCAACGCGAAGAACCUUACCAGGGUUUGACAUCCCGCGCAAGAGGCAGAGAUGCCUGGUUCCUUUCGGGGACGCGGAGACAGGUGG
rnacentral:rRNA from 1 species